rnacentral:tRNA from 1 species
AGGGGCGUAGCUCAAUUGGCAGAGCAUUCGAUUCCAAAUCGAAAGGUUGAGAGUUCAAGUCUUUCCGCCCCUG